rnacentral:lncRNA from 1 species
CACGGCCUUCAGGAGUGACCAUAGAUGAAUCCUUUCUCACAGAAGACAAGAGCACCCAGAAUCGCAAGCUUCUUCAGAAACGAAGGACGCUGCCCACCAAAGGGAGAAGAUUCGGGCUCUGGAGCCCCUGAAGGCCAAGCUUGUCACUGUGAAUGAGGACUGCAAUGAGAGGAUCCUGGCCAUGAGAGCUGAGGAGAAAUAUGAAAUCUCCCUGCUCAAGAAAGAGAAGAUGAACUUGCUAAAACUCAUCGACAAAAAGAAUGAGGAGAAGAUUUCAUUGCAGAGUGAGGUGACCAAACUGAGGAAGAACUUGGCUGAGGAGUACCUGCACUACCUCAGUGAGCGAGAUGCCCGUAAGAUCCUCAUCGCAGACCUGAAUGAGCUGCGGUACCAGCGGGAGGACAUGUCAUUAGCCCAGUCACCAGGU